GCCCCGAUUUCACGCGAGUUGGACGCUCACGAGCGUAGCAGAAUCGUUCCGUCCUAAGGAAAGGGUUGGGGGUUCGAGUCCCUCCAGGGGCACCA
rnacentral:tRNA from 1 species